UACGGGGGGGGCAAGCGUUGUUCGGAAUUACUGGGCGUAAAGGGCUCGUAGGCGGCCAACUAAGUCAGACGUGAAAUCCCUCGGCUUAACCGGGGAACUGCGUCUGAUACUGGAUGGCUUGAGUGCGGGAGAGGGAUGCGGAAUUCCAGGUGUAGCGGUGAAAUGCGUAGAUAUCUGGAGGAACACCGGUGGCGAAGGCGGCAUCCUGGACCAUUACUGACGCUGAGGCACGAAGGCCAGGGGAGCAAACGGG
rnacentral:rRNA from 1 species